UGUUGGGGAGGCCCCGUGCCCGGAACAUGGCUGCUGUCUUUAAUUUCCUCAUCCAUUAAAUGGGGGAUAAUGAUACCUCCCUGCUGGGAUGUCACAAGAAAGGGAUGAACUAAUUCUAUAAAGUGCAUGGCACAAUGCCCUGCACACAGCAGGUGCGGAGGGAAGGCAGCUGGGAUCACCUGAGGACCUUUCCAGCUGCGAGAGCCCAGCCCGUGACCCACAGUCACUCCUGACCUUUGAACCCAUGGCCAUGGUGCAAGGAAGUCCUUGGCAGGCCCCGCAAGGAGGCUCUGGCCAAGGCCAAGCCAAGAUUUCUGCUGAUUGAACACCCCACGGGAGUGAAGGGCCUUCGGGAUUCCAGCUUCUGCUCUCAAGUCUUCCAGCUGAGGCCCCAGAUAUGACUGAGGUGCACCUCCACGGUAUUUUGGGAGCCUGUGCUGUUUGCUGGGAUGAAGCAAGGAGUCCUUGGCUUCACCUGGGCGUGAAGGAAGCACCGUGGUAGAGAAGCUGCCAGCCUCAGAGGGCCUGCUUGUGGGUGAGGGCUAGGCCUGGGUGUUUUCAACUGUUUACAGCCUGCUGCUGGCUCAUCAUCCCCAGCUGUUAUGAAAACACCUUUAGUUCAUAAAACAUGGAAAUUGCAUCUGA